UACGUAGGGGGCAAGCGUUGUCCGGAUUUAUUGGGCGUAAAGAGCGUGUAGGCGGUUUUACAGGUCCGCUGUGAAAACUCGAGGCUCAACCUCGGGUCUGCAGUCGAUACGAGCAAACUAGAGUGUUGCAGGGGAGACUGGAAUUCCUGGUGUAGCGGUGAAAUGCGCAGAUAUCAGGAGGAACACCGGUGGCGAAGGCGGGUCUCUGGGCAACAACUGACGCUGAGGAGCGAAAGCGUGGGGAGCGAACAGG
rnacentral:rRNA from 1 species